CCGAAGGUGUGGGUGGUGAUUGGGAUGAAGUCGUAACAAGGUAGCCGUAGGGGAACCUGUGGCUGGAUCACCUCGGACAAGAACCUGCGGGGGAGAGUGGCGAAAGGGUGAGUAACGCGUGGGUAAUCUGCCUCUAAGUUGGGGACAACGGUUGGAAACGGCCGCUAAUACCGAAUGUGGUCCCCCGAGGCAUCUCGGGGUGAUCAAAGGUGGGGACCCUUCGGGGCCUGCCGCUUGGAGAGGAGCCCGCGUACCAUCAGCUUGUUGGUGGGGUAACGGCCUACCAAGGCUUACGGUUAGCUGGUCUGAGAGGAUGGUCAGCCACACUGGGACUGAGACACUGCCCAGACUCCUACGGGAGGCUGCAGUCGAGGAUCAUUGGCAAUGCGCGAAAGCGUGACCAUGCGACGCUGCGUGGAGGAUGACGGCCCUCGGGUUGUAAACUCCUGUCAUUCGGGACAAAUCGUCCGGCCCUGAAUAGGGGUUGGGCUUGAUGGUACCGGAAGAGGAAGCCACGGCUAACUCUGUGCCAGCAGCCGCGGUAAUACAGAGGUGGCGAGCGUUGUUCGGAUUUACUGGGCGUAAAGGGUGCGUAGGUGGCAGCGUGUGUCGAGUGUGAAAGCCCACUGCCCAACAGUGGAAAUGCACUCGAAACUGCGUGGCUAGAGUACAGGAGGGGAGAGCGGAAUUCUUGGUGUAGCGGUGAAAUGCGUUGAUAUCAAGAAGAACACCGGUGGCGAAGGCGGCUCUCUGGAAUGUUACUGACACUGAUGCACGAAAGCUGGGGGAGCGAACAGGAUUAGAUACCCUGGUAGUCCCAGCCGUAAACGGUGCGCACUUGGUGUGGGAGGUAUUGACCCCUUCCGUGCCGGAGUUAACGCGUUAAGUGCGCCGCCUGGGGAGUACGGCCGCAAGGCUAAAACUCAAAGAAAUUGACGGGGGCCCGCACAAGCGGAGGAGCAUGUGGCUUAAUUCGAUGCAACGCGAAGAACCUUACCAGGGCUUGACAUGCAGCUGCAAAUCCGGUGAAAGCCGGACGUCCUUCGAGGGUGCUGCACAGGUGCUGCAUGGCUGUCGUCAGUUCGUGCCGUGAGGUGUUGGGUUAAGUCCCGCAACGAACGCAACCCUUGUGUCUAGUUGCCACCCUUGCGUAUGCGAGGAGCACUCUAGACAGACUGCCCGUACAAGCG
rnacentral:rRNA from 1 species